rnacentral:rRNA from 1 species
CUCUUCUUGUAUUGUUUAUGAAGUAUGACCUGCCCAAUGAAUAUUUGAAUGGCCGCGGUAUCUUGACCGUGCAAAGGUAGCAUAAUCAUUAGUCUUUUUAUUGGGGACUGGAAUGAAUGGUUUGACGAGAUAAAAUCUGUCUUUAUAUUAUUUAGUAGAAUUUAAUUUCUGAGUAAAAAAGCUUAGAUAUAAUUAUGGGACGAGAAGACCCUAUAGAGUUUAAAUAAUUAUAAUUUUAUUUAAAGGUAGUAUGUUUAUUAAUAUAGAUUAUAAUUAUUUGGUUGGGGUGAUUGGAAGAUAAUAAUAACUCUUCUUGAUUAAUAAAUACUAAUUGGUAUUACUUUGAUCCAUUAUUAAUGAUUAGAAGACUAAAUUACCUUAGGGAUAACAGCGUAAUCUUUUUUGAGAGUUCUAAUUGACAAUAAGGGUUGCGACCUCGAUGUUGGAUUAAGAUGUAUUCUGGGUGCAGAAGCUUGGAUAAAUAGGUCUGUUCGACCUUUAAAUUCUUACA